rnacentral:rRNA from 1 species
GACGAACGCUGGCGGCGUGCUUAACACAUGCAAGUCGAGCGGAAAGGCCCUUCGGGGUACUCGAGCGGCGAACGGGUGAGUAACACGUGAGCAACCUGCCCUUGGCUUUGGGAUAACCCUCGGAAACGGGGGCUAAUACCGGAUAUCCACUUUCUGUCGCAUGGCGGUUGGUGGAAAGUUUUUCGGCCAGGGAUGGGCUCGCGGCCUAUCAGCUUGUUGGUGGGGUGAUGGCCUACCAAGGCGACGACGGGUAGCCGGCCUGAGAGGGCGACCGGCCACACUGGGACUGAGACACGGCCCAGACUCCUACGGGAGGCAGCAGUGGGGAAUAUUGCACAAUGGGCGAAAGCCUGAUGCAGCGACGCCGCGUGAGGGAUGACGGCCUUCGGGUUGUAAACCUCUUUCAGCAGGGACGAAGCGAGAGUGACGGUACCUGCAGAAGAAGCGCCGGCCAACUACGUGCCAGCAGCCGCGGUAAGACGUAGGGCGCGAGCGUUGUCCGGAAUUAUUGGGCGUAAAGAGCUCGUAGGCGGCUUGUCGCGUCGACUGUGAAAACCCGUGGCUCAACCAUGUGGUCUGCAGUCGAUACGGGCAGGCUAGAAUUCGGUAGGGGAGACUGGAAUUCCUGGUGUAGCGGUGAAAUGCGCAGAUAUCAGGAGGAACACCGGUGGCGAAGGCGGGUCUCUGGGCCGAUAUUGACGCUGAGGAGCGAAAGCGUGGGGAGCGAACAGGAUUAGAUACCCUGGUAGUCCACGCUGUAAACGUUGGGCGCUAGGUGUGGGG